ACGACGAUGGUGGAUCCCGCCCCCAGAAGCCCCGUGGAGAACGCGACGAGGCCGUAGACGUGGAACAUCGGGAUCGUGCAGAGGAAGGUCUCCGGUUCGUCGGGGUUGAACCGGCUGAUGAUGAUCUGGACCAUGGAGAUGAGGUUGCGGUGGGUGGCGACCACCCCCUUGCUCGCCCCCGUCGUCCCCGAGGAGUAGAGCAGCGUCGCGGGGUGGAGCUGCUGAGGGCGGAGCGGCGGCGGCGGCUGCUGCUGCUGCUGCUAGGGGCCUAGGAGACGUGGUAGCGGCUGUACGAGCGGCGGCUAGGGCUGGGGUAAGGGGUGGGCUACUACCUCGGGCACGCGGUCCUGCNUCGGGACCGUGCAGAUGAAGGUCUCCGGCUCGCCGCCCCCCGAGGAUUCGUCGGGGUUGAACCGGCUGACGAUGAUCUGGACCAUGGAGAUGAGGUUGCGGUGGGUGGCGACCACCCCCUUGCUCGCCCCCGUCGUCCCCGAGGAGUAGAGCAGCGUCGCGGGGUCGUCCUGGCGCACGGGCUCCAUCAUCGGGUGGGGAAUGGGGUCGGGAUCGGCGGCGAGCAUGUCGGCGAUGGUGC
rnacentral:lncRNA from 1 species